UGACAGCCCCGUUGAAAAAAACAGCAAAUGCUGGUUAGGUGUGUUUUGAAGCAUUCUACAUAAUAUUGAGCUUAAGUAAACUUCCUCUUCUCACACGUGUUUUUCUUUAAGUACACAGAACUAUAUGAUACGAUUUGCCUGGGCAGUACACACACCUGAUGAAGGGAAGAAAAGCUACCCAGGCACCCAAACUCCAUCAGUAAUGGCACCGAAGGAAAGUAACAACGUUUAAAAUGGUGAGAUGUAUUUUCAGACGUCUGGACAAAGAUCAGGCAUGCGGUUGACAUGAAAUCCAGCCGGCAGCAUGGGGAAGGCUGCACCCUGCCAUAAAAUCAAAUCCUGACAUACAUUCUUUGGGGGGGAAGGAAAUUCCUAAAAGUUCCUUUGAGCCUUUAGUUAUUAUAGUUUGAAAUUUUUCAUUUCAGUUUAUUUUAAGACUGCCUUAAAGUCAAAUUUUGUUUACUUUUCAUGCAAUGCCGCAUAGUAUUAUAAUAUUACAGCUUCAGUUGAUUUUGAUUUUCAUUUCAGCGAACACAUUUUUGUUUUUCACUGCUAUUUUUUAUCUUGGUAAUAGUUUUCACUAAUCAUAAUAUUAUUUGAACCUUGCGGAGACCCCCGUGUCCUACAGAUGAAGCCGGCCUAGAGCUGUGGGAGAAGGAUGACUGCAGACUGUGAUGGAGACAGAGCCGUCUGCUGCAGCCCGACUGCAGGAUUAGCUUUACAAAAGAGGUGGUGGCUGGAAGUGGGCAGAGUGGCCUGGCUCAAAGACGCUUCCUUUGUAAGCAGCCAACAAAACCGGCCUUUGUGGCCAUCGUGGCACUGCCGAAACGUCUCUUCAGACCAGAGGCAGCCGCCCGCUGAAUUCUCCAAAACACGUUUUACUGGGAGCGUUUGUCUUGUGUUGUAGUUCCCCAGAAUAACACCGCUAUGUAAAUAUUUGAUGGAGAUGUUUUAGAGAUAUGCUUAUUGAAGGCAUCUGACCUAAAUUGAAAAGAAACGGAUGAAUUCCUGGUCUUGUUUUGCGUUUGCAGAGCUUGAUAUCUCACAAUAUACAAGACCUCUGUGUUCAUGAUAAAAUGCUUCUAUUCAAAAACCAGAAAGUAUGUGACUGUCAGUACAUUUUAUGGAAAAAGUGGCAAAAAAUACAAUGCAUUCUGUAAUACCAUGUUUUCAAUUGGUCUGUUUUCUAAAACUUCUUAUUGCUUAUUUCUACACUUUUUUCCUUAUGUCUCUAUCCUGUCUGUUCUAAAAUGUAUUUUCUGCAGUGCACAAUGCAGUAAUAGAAACAUUGUCACCUUCAUUAGCUUCAUUGCAACCAACUUACAGUAAAACUUUUACCUCCACCACCUUCUCUGUUUAAAACAGA